rnacentral:tRNA from 1 species
GCCGCUCUAGCCCAACGGCAGGAGGCACCGUGCUCAGGACACGGGGGCAGUCGGGGUUCGAAUCCCCGGGGCGGCAC